UAACGGCCAUAGCACGCUGGAUAUACCGGUUCUCGUCCGAUCACCGCAGUCAAGCAGUGUUGGGCGCGGUUAGUACCUUGAUGUGCGACCGCUA
rnacentral:rRNA from 1 species